UUUCCAACAGAAAUAGGAGCUCCUAUGAUUCCUUUGAUGGUCACGACCCCAUCCAGGAAGAAUAUUUAAGGAAUAGCAGAGGUCUUCCUUAUAGCAGCAGCUGGCCAGAGUUGAGGAAGCGCAGCAAGCGCUACAGGGAACUAUGCUCCCGCAAAAGAAGAAGGAGCCUCAGUUGCAGCGCCAUCCCCCGUCAGACGGAUAUACAUGGCAGAAUACUGCCCCAAACCGUCCCCUGACCACUUCAUUCCCUACAGCCUGUCCCCAUCAAUAUGUUAGUUAUGUUAGUAAUUUUCUGUAGUGUUUCCUUCCUGUUUUUAGGCAGACACCAAUAAUUCUCUUCUUAUCUUUUUUCCUUAAUUGUUAAGUAUCCUGUGAAAGAUCAGUGUGGAGGAAACCCCAACCCCCCUCUUCCCCCUCCCACUUCUAUGACCGUUUGAUUUUUUUCUUCCUCCACUGUUUGUAGUUUUGUUUAAAAUGUAUUUGUUAAUGGUUUUAAAGUUAAAAAAUUAAAAUGUUAUUUUGGUUCUAGUA